rnacentral:rRNA from 1 species
AGGUCCAGCCUGCCCGGUGACAUAGUUUAACGGCCGCGGUACCCUAACCGUGCGAAGGUAGCAUAAUCACUUGUUCUUUAAAUGGGGACUCGUAUCAACGGCAUCACGAGGAUCACACUGUCUCCCCCCUCUAAUCAGUGAAACUGAUCUCCCCGUGAAGAAGCGGGGAUUUUUUUAUAAGACGAGAAGACCCCAUGGAGCUUUAAACCCAUGACACCCCCGCCCCAUCUACACCCACGUAUUCGUUGGGGACCUGUUACUCGGUUUUAGGUUGGGGUGACCGCGGAGUAAAACAAAACCUCCACGAAGAAUGGGCUUACCCCCUUAUCCAAGAGAUACAUUUCUAAGAAUUAGUAAACUAAUAUCUAAUGAUCCGAUUUUUUCGAUCAACGAACCAAGUUACCCUGGGGAUAACAGCGCAAUCCACUUUCAAGAGCUCAUAUCGACAAGUGGGUUUACGACCUCGAUGUUGGAUCAGGUAUCCAGUGUGCAGCAGCACUACGGUAC